UGAUGUCUUCGCAUUUCAGUUCUAUGUGGUUCAAAUGUGGUUUUAAGUUGCCGUUGGCCGUAGUUCUUGCCAUACUCCCAUGCGCACAGCAGCGACUGUCUCCUCUGUUUGGCUGUCGGGUAAUGUAACCGGUGUGCUUUACUGAACUUACAAAGGUUAGAGGUCAGCUAUAUCUGGAAAGACUCCUCAGGAAGGCAGAUGCUUACUAACGUGAGGGCUUGAACUCAUGCUCUCUGUGCUGGACUGCUGUCCUAAAUGUACAACCUUCUCAUUUUGUCUCUGUGGUCCAACCUUCCAGCAGCUAUUUGUCACAAGCAGAUGUUACAUGAACCAUGACCUCCAAGUGUUGUUACUGAGAAUGGGCGCUUGGUGCCAGUUCUGAUUGGAAAACUGCAGUGCAGAGAGGACAUGGUCAAGUUAGGGUUUUAAUGAAGGUUUUGAGGUUGGAGCUGAUGACGAGACAAUUUCCUUGGACUUGAUUCAGCUGUUUCUCCAUCUGGCGUUUGAGCACCUGGGUUUCUCCACUAUCUUCUCAUUCCAACCCUGUGG